UUACCAUCCUAUUUCUUCAUCUUUUUCCCUCGAUAUGAAGAAACCCUAAAUCAUUCUUCCUCACAAUCUAAGUCGUUCCUCUCAUCUCUCAAGGCGAUUCUUUAUCUUCCAAUAUUCCCUUCAUCAUCAUUGUGUGUUCUUGCACCUCUUGAUUUUCUUCAAGGUAAAGUGACGGCUCUUCUCUCAAACCCUAAUCCUCAAUUUUGCUUCAACCAUCCGCAGUCCAAAAGCCUACAAUCAUCAGGUAUUAUAACUAUUAUUCAAGUAAUUUUUUUUUAUUUUACAAUCGUGGCUAUUCAAUUCAAUUUUGAUCCACAAACCCUCAUCACAGAAUUACCUUUACACCAUUCUUUCCCUCUUUUCCUUUGUUGUUCGUUUGGUAUCUGUAACCAGGUAAGUGGUUACAGUUUGCAGCAAUUGUUCAUCUAUGUGCAUGAAUAGAUGUAGAGAUCUAUUUAUUUGUUUGAAAUUAGACUAGGGUUUUUGUUUAAUUUUGAUAUUUAGAUCUGUGGCUAUGCUAAGUUUCUGGUUUGUUUAAUUUUGACAUGUCCAUAUGGACAAUGCAUGUUCUUAUGACACAUGGGUUAAAUACGCCGGAUUUUCAGUUUUUUUUUCUAUUAGUGGCGUUUGAUAUUUAAAAAUUUUUUAAUUGAUGCCAAUUUUGUAUGUCAGAUUGUCUGUCAUGUACAACUGGUAUGUUUUGACUUAAUGGUAAAAAAAGUUAAAGAAUGGUCUGUUAUUGGGUGUUGAGAUUGUUGGAUUUGGUUCGGUUGUUAGAUAUCAAUUGGGUCCUUAAUGGCGUUUUUUGUUACUUUUUAGUGGUUUGAUUUUCUUUCUUUUUGAAUAUGUUAUGGGGUCCAGAUUUUGGUGGUUUGAUGCUAAUUCUAAUUAUUUAGUUCUAGGACGUAAAGCUUUUUGAAACAAGAAUCUAUGUGUGGAAUAGUAACUUUUCAUAUUUAAAUCAAGAGAGAGAACAGAGUAAAUAGGAUAGAGAGAAGGUUGUGGCUAACUUAGCAACUUCAAUACAGAGGGUUAAUACAAACGCUUAGGAGGAAUUGAACUCAGAAAAAGUGUUAUAUGCAAAUCAUGGUACAAUGGUGAUUUUUAUCUCUGAAAUCAGAUUUUAGCCAACUUAUUUUUUCUAAUUCUCUUUGUAGUUUGUACAAGAUAGCUCUUAAAUUUGAGGCAAAGGCAGCAGUUAUGGUCUUCCAUAGUCCAUAUGAAUGGCAAUUUUACAGUCGUGGACACGCUUGGACCUAGCUUAUGGGACGUAUGGAAUUCUUUUGGGCAAUUGUGAGUCCUUAAGGUAGAACCGUUAAAAUCUCUCUCUCUCUCUCUCUCUCUCUCUCUCUUUCUUAUGUUAGUUGGUUUUAGUCCUUGCUCCUUUAUUUUGCUUUGACCUGGGUAUUUUGUUUGUCGACUCACAAAAUUAUGCAUAUUAAAAUGACAAAUUAACUUUAAAAUGGUUGGAUAGCAUCAACAUAGAUUCCCAAGACUGCAAGGGAUUCUUUGUGCAGAAAGACUACAAAAUGUUUCCACCUUCAGUAAAUUUGGAUAAUAUUGAUUGGUCUACAACGAGGCUGCAAAUCGAUUUCCCUGUCCUGGUGGGCGUUACUAUGAAGGUUAGCACUAUUCAACUGGUCCCUUAGAAAUGUUGUUUUUGACACAAGUGGAUCCUAAAUUGGAACAAUAGCAAAGAUCUCAUCAUUUCUUUGUAAUUAUUUAAUGAUAUGAGUAUUCUACUACUCUAUAAUAAGUGGGAGUGAGGUUAGCAAAACAAGAUGGUGAUGGCGAUGGUCACUGGCGGAUACCACAUAUAGUAAAUUAUUAUUUUACAGUAAUAUUUUUUACUGUUCUAUGAAGUUGUUUUA
rnacentral:lncRNA from 1 species